UACGUAGGUGGCAAGCGUUGUCCGGAAUUAUUGGGCGUAAAGCGCGCGCAGGCGGUCCUUUAAGUCUGAUGUGAAAGCCCACGGCUUAACCGUGGAGGGUCAUUGGAAACUGGAGGACUUGAGUGCAGAAGAGGAGAGUGGAAUUCCUGGUGUAGCGGUGAAAUGCGCAGAUAUCAGGAAGAACACCCGUGGCGAAGGCGGCUCUCUGGGACGGUACUGACGCUGAGACGCGAAAGCGUGGGGAGCGAACAGG
rnacentral:rRNA from 1 species